GAUCCUGGCUCAGGACGAACGCUGGCGGCGCGCCUAACACAUGCAAGUCGAACGAGAGAUGAGGAGCUUGCUCUUCAAAUCGAGUGGCGAACGGGUGAGUAACGCGUGAGGAACCUGCCUCAAAGAGGGGGACAACAGUUGGAAACGACUGCUAAUACCGCAUAAGCCCACGGCUCGGCAUCGAGCAGGGGGAAAAGGAGCAAUCCGCUUUGGGAUGGCCUCGCGUCCGAUUAGCUAGUUGG
rnacentral:rRNA from 1 species